rnacentral:rRNA from 1 species
UACGUAGGGUGCUAGAGUUGUCCGGAUUUAAUGGGUGUAAAGGGUGCUCAGGUGGGUUUGUAAGUCAGAGGUGAAAUCCCAAAGCUUAACUUUGGUGCUGCCUUUGAUACUGCAAGCCUUGAGUUUGAGAGAGGGUAAUGGAAUAACUGGUGUAGCAGUGAAAUGCGUAGAUAUCAGUUAGAACACCAAUGGCGAAGGCAGUUACCUGGCUCAAUACUGACGCUAAAGCACUAAAGUGUGGGGAGCAAACAGG